UAUGCUAUUGCCUAUUUGAUUUGAACUCUAUUGACAUGUCCGAUUUUUUAUCUUGGGACAAUGAUCUUUCAGUAAAACUUUUUAUACAGCACUGUAAACAUCACUAUGCAAUAUAGCAAAUGACCCAUUUGUUGUUACUCCUCACGAGAUUAAAGAUUUAUGUCAAAAAGUACUUUCAAUAUUUUGAUAAUUGAUUUUAGAAGACUUUAUUGGAGAAAUUAUGUCACAGAUGACCAAGGUGCAAAAACACAACUCAGAAAAAGAGCAACCACAACUUAGUGGCAAUGACCAAUCUAUUCUG
rnacentral:lncRNA from 1 species